rnacentral:lncRNA from 1 species
CAGUGACACCUAGCAAUAUGUAGUGACAACCUAGUAGAACUGAAUUAAAUCUUUAGGUGUAGUUAACGUGUGAUUCAGUCCCUCUAUCAUGAGUUCCGACUAGAUGGCAGAUCAUAGAUCAAUCGUCAAACCUCAACACCAAUCAUAUAAUAGAUUCGAUCAGCUCAAGUCCAAUUAUGACUUCUAUAGAAACUCUUUUCCAUCAAUCACACUACUAUGACCACAGACUCUCAGACUUAACCUCUUAAAUCUCAUAGGACUACUCCUCUCUAUCAAGGUCAAUAGAUCCCAUCUUGAUGUGCACCCUACUCCUACAGUGAACCAACUAUUGCCAACAUCCAGUAUAAGGGCUCAUUGAGACCCAUAUUUAUGUGUCAACCAAACUCUAGCAGCCUCACUAUGAGCAAUAGUACUAUCUCAGGUCAAAGAACC